GACCCAAGCCUUUUCAGCUGAGGCUUCACCAUCUCCUGGAUGCCCUGCCCUCCCAAACCAGGUGGGAGGAGAGGGUUUCGUGGGCAUCCUGGCCUGAAAUCCCCCUUCUCAAGCAGAGCUUUGCCAUGGCACACCACCUAUGAUGUUGGGUUGCAUUGCGUUUGACCCCAAGAGAUGCCCAGUCAAGCCAUGGACCAGAGCAAUCAGAAACAUAGGUAGUGAAGGAAUUUGUAAUUAAAUUGCCAUUAGAUAGGUAACAGAUUGUCUGACAGCUGACAGUGAGUGAAAAUGCUCUACUCUGUCAUGUUUUAUCAGCAUGAAAACCAUUUGCAAGUGCUCUAAUUACAUUCCUAAUUGCCAAUGUGAUUAGGGACCUGCAGCUGUUCAUUAAACGUGUGUCACCCUCAGCCAGCAAUCUGUAGGAGAGAAUAUUUAAUUAAUCAAAUAGGCACUGGAUGAAAGCAGGAGAUGGACAAACCUGGAAGACCAUUUUUUCAGCAUGUGGAGAUUAUGCCAAACACCAGACCUGCUCCUCCCACUGCAAUCCCUCAGCACCUCCCCACCGCUGUCCUCUGCCCUCUCCUGACCACCACCAGCCCGCAGCCACCACUACCCACAGCAAGCCCCCAAGGGCUACUGGUCUCCAGCAGCCUUCCCAAGGGUGUAGGACCACCAUUUGCCCACUUCCCAAGGCUUUCUCUAGCAACACCCAGCAGACCCUGCCCUGAGCUGGAGGCUGAAGUGGAGAUGCCCAAAAGUCCCUUGAGAGAUCAUCUAACCAACCCCCCAGCCAGGCGAACAGAGGAGAUGAGGAGGCUGCAGGAGCGGCUCCCAGGAUGUGGCUGGCUCCCCGUUUUCUCCAGGCUAGCGGCAGCGGGGUGA
rnacentral:lncRNA from 1 species